rnacentral:rRNA from 1 species
UACGGAGGAUGCGAGCGUUACCCGGAUUUAUUGGGUUUAAAGGGUGCGUAGGCGGGCUGUUAAGUCAGCGGUCAAAUGUCGGGGCUCAACCCCGGCCUGCCGUUGAAACUGGCGGCCUCGAGUGGGCGAGAAGUAUGCGGAAUGCGUGGUGUAGCGGUGAAAUGCAUAGAUAUCACGCAGAACUCCGAUUGCGAAGGCAGCAUACCGGCGCCCUACUGACGCUGAGGCACGAAAGCGUGGGUAUCGAACAGG